CUCUCUAUUUCUUACUGUUUACGAGUUGCUUCGAGAACUGCGUGUUACUAAGGAACGCUUAUCUUCAGUUGUAAAACCUGAAGGUUCUACUAAUGUUGGGAGUUGACAUGGAACCCAAGAUAGAAGCCAAUGCCGUAAUGCCGUCCUUGCCCUCCAUUAGAGCAAAAGAAGAGGACCAACAGAACAAUAGACCAGUCUCAUACAGAAUGUCUACUAGAAGUGCUCAAAUCCGGCUUGUGAGCUCCCAUCCUGAGGUUUAUGAACCCUGUGAUGAUUCUUUUGCCUUGGUUGAUGCAUUACUAGCUGACAGAAAUAACCUGUUAGAGCAUAGGCCAACAUUUUGCAUAGAAUUGGGUUGUGGUAGUGGUUAUGUGAUCACUUCACUAGCAAUCAUGCUAGGGCAGGAGGGUGCUGGUGUCAGUUACUUUGCAACUGAUAUUAACCCGCAUGCAGUGAGAGUGACCAGGGAAACGUUGGAGGCCCAUGGGGUCCACGCAGAGGUGAUCUUGACGGAUAUUGUAUCUGGGUUGGAGAGACGGUUGGUGGGUAUGGGGGAUGUGAUAGUUGUGAACCCACCUUAUGUACCAACACCAGAAGAUGAAGUGGGUCGUGAUGGGAUUGCUUCUGCAUGGGCAGGAGGUGAGAAUGGGCGGAGUGUCAUUGACAGGAUCCUACCCAUUGCAGAUAAACUUUUGUCGGAAAGGGGUUGGUUGUACAUGCUCACGCUAGCUGCUAACAACCCCUCUCAAAUAUGCCGUAUGAUGAGAGAGAAGGGCUAUGCUUCCCGAAUUAUUGUCCAGAGAUCCACUGAGGAAGAGAGCCUCCAUGUUAUUAAAUUCUGGCGGGAUACUGAAAUUCAGGUGGGAACUAAGGAGCAAAUCACAGAAAAUAGAACUCCUUCAGAAGUAAUGGAAUCUCUACUGUCACAAAUUCCUCGCUUGGCUUUCUGGAGGAGUGGCAGCCGCGACAGCUGAAUGCAGGAAACAGGAAGCUAGGGUCCUUUCUGCUCAAGGGUAUUUCUCUUUUUCUUGGAGGAGAUCUGCCAAUUCAAUUGCAGGCAAAUUGGCUAUGGGUGGCGUGGGGCCAUCAAAAUCUGAGUUGCAUCAUAUGGCCAGUUUGAGAGCCAUCCUCUGUUGGAGCAUAUGAUUUUAUCAUAACAAAUGGUUCAUGAUGGAUCUAACCUCAAGGAUAUCCGAGAACUCUGUCGUAUUCUCAAGUUUCAUCAGUCCCUGGGUUUUCUGCUGGUUGUCAACCUGGGAGCAGAGUACAUGAUUGUGAAAGCAAUUUGGAGAACCUUAUCUGCUUUUUAAAAUGAAACUCUCGCAUAGUACCAUGGGGAAACUGCUCAGUUUGCAUGGACUAUUACACUUCGCUAUAUAAGUUUGGAAUUAUUUUAUUUUUCUAAUGCACAGGAUCUUUAAUACUUUUGUUCAUUGCCAUAUUAUAGCUCUGUGCCAA